GGCCACGUAGCCAAGUGGUAAGGCAGGGGUCUGCAAAACCCUCAUCGUCGGUUCGAUUCCGACCGUGGCCUCCA
rnacentral:tRNA from 1 species